CUGAUCAAUGAUCCCAAUUGCCUAGUUUUUAAACAUGUAUGAGAGUUUAGGCUUUGAAUUUUGGUUGUCUUUGAAUGAUUCAAACCGUUUAUACGAUGUUUCUCACCUUGUAUGGUGGAUAGAAGACAAGCAAAAUCUUCACCUAGGAACAUUUGAAGAGACUUUUAGGUCAUCCUGCAUUAGGGAUGUCAAUGGGUGCACAGGUCCGAGUACCUUAUACCCUCAUUAUAAAUGACAUGCCAACACAACAUUUUUGCUUGUUUGGGUUUCGGAAUAAGGUUAAAUAUCUGUGAAGCAUUAUUGACAAUCCAUGGCCACUCGUUGGACGUGUUUGCGGUGGACGGAUGGCCUUUUGAGUGUUGUGCUACCGAAGAACAUGAAGACGCGAGGAUCAUCAUGCAGCAGAGACAAACAAGAAACAGAGACAGAUAUUCCAUUCUGCUGAGUGUUUGUGGCCGUGUGAUAACCCAAAACUACAUUAUGUACCCCAAAUCAUAUCCAUUGCACAUCACUUGGGAUCUGAGACAAAUGAUAUUAUUUGGUAGAAAGCAUCCUUCCUACCUACAUCUCUAGUUUCUACGUAUAACCAAACAUAUCCUUAAUGUCUUUCUAUUUAAAUGGAUACCUCAUUUUGUGCUCUAUGAGCCAAUAUUUUAUGUAAUGAUAUGCUAAGUGUUUAUGUGUCUAUUUAUAUGUAUAUUUAAUGGAGGAGACAUGGUGGGGAUUGUUUUUUUC